UACCGGACUGAACGCAACCAAUAUCAUCUGAUCUCAGAAGCUAAACUAUCCUGGGCCAGGCUAGUACUUGGAGACCACUUGGGAAUCCCAGCU
ensembl:rRNA 5S_rRNA 5S ribosomal RNA